ACAGUUUUGUUCAAUUGGAUUACCUGUUUGGUUCGUGUGCUUUGUGUUGGGCAUUUGUGGAAUUGUUUAUGCUCCAGGAAUCCGCCGGAACUUUUGUCAAAUUUAAGAUAAUUUCUGUGUCACAUCUUGCGAGAAUCUUAUGUCAAGAUUUCCAACACGUUUUAUCAGACUCUUAUCAAGUGGCAAUCGAACGUGUGAGGUUUCAAACCCUGCAGGAAUGGUAAAGCAACCUUAGAAAGGAUGGAAGCAUCUCUUGAACUUCACGAUGAGAAAACAUACCAAGCUGUCUGUCCCACUACCUCCAUCUCUGAAGCAGCUUAGCUUUCUUUAUAUCUAACUAUCGAUCUCUUUGUAUAAUAUAUAUUUGUGUGUACGUCUCCUUCUCUCUUAUAUAUAUAGUACAGUAUAGUCCGUGUUAUCCGUGGUUAUCCGAUUGAUCCUCAUCAUUGAUUCCUUUCAUCAGAUGAUGCUGCAUAAGUCGAUGAAUCAGAGAAGGAUGGAUUUCUGUGCCUGUGUGAAGGCAAAUCUAGCUGUUAUAUUUAUCCUACAUUAUAUCGGUACGACCAUGAUGCAACCCCAAAAACACUGACUUAUUACUCACUGUCGUUAGACGGUAGCCUCGGAUCUUUAUUUGCAUACUCUUAACGUUACCUUAAACCAAUUUAAAAGGUGUGUGUGUGUGGGGGGGGGUAUGUGUGAGUUUUUUCUCCAACCACCGGUUGCCUACCGGUGCUUGUUUGUUUACAUCUCCGUAAAUUAGUAGAUCAGCAAAAAGUGCGGGAUUCAAUAAUUACAAGGCUUAAAAAGCAAAAAAAAAAAAAUAGUUAGAUU